GGUCCUGGCCGCGAAGGCUGCGUCCUGCGCAGGCUGCAGCCCCAUGAAUUGAGACACAGCCUGUGUGAGGAUAGCGCCACAAUUUGCCCGGAGUGUAGGAAAAUGCGCAUGCCCAAAACUUCUGUCAAUUAGCAGAUGAUACCAACACGUGUGGCUUUUGCUCAACAUUUGAACCACUCAAGAUAGAUAGUAGCUAACUGCGAUCUCCAUGCACAAUGUGGAAUAUCUUCUACAGUAGGCCUACACAUUUAAAAGUUUACUUUAUAAAGAAAACCGGGAAAUGAAACACCUCGGUGCCCACCAGCCGCGGAUAUUGUUAUAAACCAAACCGCUAGUAAAAAUAAUCAAAUUAAACGCGGAGUGAUUCUCCAGCACCAAACAUGAAAGCAGCAGGACAACGCCUUUGAAGUAACGCGACAUAGCAAACACAUGGUGUAUAUUGAUGUCAGUGCAGGUACAUUGAGGACACUGUCAGAUCUGUGUGGAUGUUUCUUCUCUCCUGCCACUACUGGAUCACACUCCUGUCCCAGAUGCCAACUCAAGAGGAGCUUAAUGCGAUCGAUCGGCCAGGCCCUUUCAAGAUCAGCGCCAGUAUAAGCAUCUCUUCCCCUAACACACAUGCUGCCUCUUUCCCCUCAGCGCACGGUGGAACCGGUUCUGCUCAGCUCCAGCACAACGUCGUGAGGAAAAGUACUAAUACGGUACUUUUCCUCACGCAGUUGAUAUCCUUUGUCCACAAGCCAUGUUUCUCUUCAAAGUCCUGAGCAUGGAGGGGUGAAAUGGUGUCUGAGGAAGAGGAGAUGAGGCUAGAAUGGAUAAAAUGUGACGAGACUGGAGUGAAAUAGAGAUGCAUGGCUGCAAGUCAAGAGGGAAAGCACUAACUCCACAGUGAGGAAGAGUGGACGGAGAGGAGGAAUCAAGUUGGAAUCGGGAAAGAACCGCGGGAAAAGUUGGCCUCCGCUUCAUGUCUGAGGAACACCUGGCACACUUUGACAAGGCAGUGAUCUCAAGCUCUGUGCGUUUGUGACGGCAGCCCUGCGAAGACAAAAGACCAUCAGAGAGAGAGAGAGAGAACACACAGACUCACUCUGACUGGGAAAGAAGAGG